GCUCGCUUCUGCCGUGCAUUAAACAUUGGAACAUAGAGAAGAUUAGUAUGGUCCCUGCACAAGGAUAGCGUGCAAACUCAUGAAGGAUUCCAUAAUAUA
ensembl:snRNA Rnu6-777 RNA, U6 small nuclear 777